GUUGGUGCAAAAGUAAUUGCGGUUUUUGCCAUUGAAAAUGAUGGCUAAAACUGCAUUUACUU
rnacentral:miRNA from 1 species